GGUAUGGAGCUGGGUAAUAAAUUAGCUGAUCUCGAGGAGCUGCGUACAAUGUGGGAAGACCUAGAACUGGAGAGGAAGAUUUCUACUAAUGUAGCAGAGGAAAAAUCCAUCACAACAAAGCGUGGGGAACCCUGCUUUUGGAAAUACUGUGUCUGACACUGACUAAAGGGGAAGAUAACCACCAUGGAAACUUGCUGCAGUGUUCAGCAUAGCCUUAAAACCUGCUAACACCAGUAAUUUAACUACCCUGUAUUUAUUCCAGCAAUAUAGCAAUGUACAUUUCAUGUACCUCCUAGAUACUGUCAUGAAGCCCCAGAGUGAUGUUACUGUGUAUAUUGUCUGACAGGAAUUUUAUUAUGUAACAAACUGAAUCUAUUUUACCUCAUCUGGAUUUCUAAUUUAACUAUGUUUGUGUUUUCAUUGCCCUCAUCUGGCAGAACU